rnacentral:rRNA from 1 species
GAUGAACGCUGGCGGCGUGCCUAAUACAUGCAAGUCGAGCGAACGGACGAGAAGCUUGCUUCUCUGAUGUUAGCGGCGGACGGGUGAGUAACACGUGGAUAACCUACCUAUAAGACCGGGAUAACUUCGGGAAACCGGAGCUAAUACCGGAUAAUAUUUUGAACCGCAUGGUUCAAAAGUGAAAGACGGUCUUGCUGUCACUUAUAGAUGGAUCCUCGCUGCAUUAGCUAGUUGGUAAGGUAACGGCUUACCAAGGCAACGAUGCAUAGCCGACCUGAGAGGGUGAUCGGCCACACUGGAACUGAGACACGGUCCAGACUCCUACGGGAGGCAGCAGUAGGGAAUCUUCCGCAAUGGGCGAAAGCCUGACGGAGCAACGCCGCGUGAGUGAUGAAGGUCUUCGGAUCGUAAAACUCUGUUAUUAGGGAAGAACAUAUGUGUAAGUAACUGUGCACAUCUUGACGGUACCUAAUCAGAAAGCCACGGCUAACUACGUG